GAUGAACGCUAGCUACAGGCUUAACACAUGCAAGUCGAGGGGAAACGACAUCGAAAGCUUGCUUUUGAUGGGCGUCGACCGGCGCACGGGUGAGUAACGCGUAUCCAACCUGCCCAUCACUUGGGAAUAACCUUGCGAAAGUAAGACUAAUACCCAAUGACAUCCCACGAAGACAUCUGAAUGGGAUUAAAGAUUUAUCGGUGAUGGAUGGGGAUGCGUCUGAUUAGCUUGUUGGCGGGGUAACGGCCCACCAAGGCAACGAUCAGUAGGGGUUCUGAGAGGAAGGUCCCCCACAUUGGAACUGAGACACGGUCCAAACUCCUACGGGAGGCAGCAGUGCGGAAUAUUGGUCAAUGGGCGAGAGCCUGAACCAGCCAAGUAGCGUGCAGGAUGACGGCCCUAUGGGUUGUAAACUGCUUUUAUAAGGGAAUAAAGUGGGUCUCGUGAGACUUUUUGCAUGUACCUUAUGAAUAAGGACCGGCUAAUUCCGUG
rnacentral:rRNA from 1 species